rnacentral:rRNA from 1 species
CAAGAGCUCAGAUUUGAAAGGCACUUUUGUGCCGUUGUAUUCUGAAGUUAGGGUCCUGAGAAACGAUGCUUAAGUCUUCUGGAAAGGAGCGCCAUGGAGGGUGAUAGCCCCGUCUAGCAUUGACCUCAUAUAGGAUCUUAACAUGGAGUCGAGUUGUUUGGGAAUGCAGCUCAAAUGGGUGGUAUGCUCCAUCUAAAGCUAAAUAUCUGCGAGAGACCGAUAGUAAACAAGUACUGUGAGGGAAAGAUGAAAAGAACUUUGAAAAGAGAGUGAAAAAGUACGUGAAAUUGUUGAAAUGGAAGGGUAGGCCGCUAACCAUGUAGAGCCGUGUUUGGGGGGAAGAUAAAUGCUGUAGAAUGUAGCUCCUCGGAGUAUUAUAGAUGCAGUUCAUAUUCCCACCCGAGCGCGAGGAUCUCAGGUUCUACUAAAUGGUGGUCUACCACCCGU